rnacentral:pre_miRNA from 1 species
GGUUGGGAGAGGUUUUAGACAAGCUGUUGAGCCCAGUGGAAGAGCACUUCAUGGCCAAUAGUUUGUCUAAAAUCUCUCCCAACC